rnacentral:rRNA from 1 species
AUUGAACGCUGGCGGCAGGCCUAACACAUGCAAGUCGAGCGGUAGCACAGGGAGCUUGCACCUGGUGGCGAGUGGCGAACGGGUGAGUAAUAUAUCGGAACGUGCCCUAGAGUGGGGGAUAACGUAGCGAAAGUUACGCUAAUACCGCAUACGAUCUAAGGAUGAAAGUGGGGGAUCGCAAGACCUCAUGCUCAUGGAGCGGCCGAUAUCUGAUUAGCUAGUUGGUGGGGUAAUAGCUUACCAAGCCGACGAUCUGUAGCUGGUCUGAGAGGACGACCAGCCACACUGGGACUGAGACACGGCCCAGACUCCUACGGGAGGCAGCAGUGGGGAAUUUUGGACAAUGGGCGAAAGCCUGAUCCAGCAAUGCCGCGUGCAGGACGAAAGGCCUUCGGGUUGUAAACUGCUUUGUACGGAACGAAAAGGUAGACUCCUAAUACGAGCUGCUGAUGACGGUACCGUAAGAAUAAGCACCGG